GGUUGUAUAGUGUAGUGGUUAUCACAGAGGAUUCUGAUUCCUUUGACCUGGGUUCGAAUCCCAGUACGACCU
rfam:Tetrahymena thermophila SB210 genomic scaffold scf_8254563, whole genome shotgun sequence.